UGUCAUGGAUGGAGACACGGACUGCCCACGCUCCCUGCCCCUCGCUCCGUGCCCCUCGCUCCGUGCCCCACGCUCCGUGCCCCACGCUCCCUGCCCCCCGCUCCGUGCCCCUCGGUCCAUGCGGCCGCGGUGCCGCUGCCUGACGCUGAGAGGAGCCCCGGUACAGCGCAGCAGAGCGGCGGAGCGGCGGGAGAUGGAGGGCAUACACAUCCCAGCAAUGCCAGACCCACAGUUGCUUGGCAGGGACAGAGCAGGUCCUGGCUGGAGGGAGAGCUCAGCAAGACUCAGACCAGAGCCAAGACACGAUGAGGGAGAAGGAGGUGGACAUCUCAGCAGCAGGAUCACUUCAGGAGCCAUGCGUUUCUGGUUCCAGAUACACCACAUCGGGGUGGGUGGCUCCGUGGGAUCCCAACACCUCUGCUACCAGCAGAGGAAGGCUCAGCCCAGCCAGCCCUGCGUGCUGCUGCUCUGCUCCUGCUGCCUCCUCCCAGCCCGGGGAAACCGCAGCCUCCGGGUCUGGGGGAAGUGCUGAAAACGUGAUGCCAGAGAAAAUAAAUAAAGCAGCUAAUGAGGUAA